rnacentral:lncRNA from 1 species
GUUUAACUCAGUAGCUCUAGUAUCUCUCUGAUCCUCUCCCAGAGGGUCUGAAGCUUUCAGCCUCCUGAACGGGUAAGCUCCCCCUCUAGUGUUCACUGCUCAUCAAAUUAUUCCUCCAACAAAUAAGACAGGAACUGCCUGUUUUUUGAUUCCCUAUCGAAGGACGGAGCUUGAUUACUGUUUAAUGACACAAAGAGGAAAAGAUUCCUGAAGUGAUUAAUGAGGUCAUAUAUCCUACCAGGAAAGCUAGAGUUUCGUGCUCUUGUUACCCAGGCUGGAGUGCAAUGGCGUGACCUCGGCUCACCGCUACCUUCGCCUCCUGGGUUCAGGUAAUUCUCCUGCCUCAGCCUCCUGAGUAGCUGGGAUUACAGGCGUGUGCCACCAUUCCCAGCUAAUUUUUUGUAUUUUUAGUAGAGACGGGGUUUCAUCAUGUCGACCAGGAUGGUCUCGAUUUCUUGACCUCGUGAUCCACCCGCCUCGGCCUCCCAAAGUGCUGGGAUUACAGGCUUGAGCCACCGCGCCCAGCAUUAAAUGCUUUGAUUGAUAGUAAAUAGAAUUGAUUUUCAUCUUCCUAGGCCAUGUUCUAAACAAGACUAUUAGAUAUAUUCAAAAAUGUAUCUUUUAUCUAAUACAUUAUUUAUGACAAUUUAUUAUGUGUGAUCAACAUUGAUGAGAAAUAG